AGGUAAUGUAUAUAAAAUAACAAAAGAUUUACAGAAGUUUAAAGAGUAAAAUAAAAUAAAACAGAAAAGAAACAAAGUAAAAUAAAUGAAUUAAUGAAUAAACAGAAGCAAAUUAAAAAUAAAUGCGAAAAUAAUGAGUCGGGGACUGCUUUGUAAGUCAUCAAUAAAAAUGGGGUACAAUCAUAAAUACCAAAAGCUUCCAGGGACUGCAUUAGAAAGCGCGCGAAGGACCAAGGCCCGAAAGAGCAAAUAUCCCAGGCCCUUUGAUGCGCGGCGUUUUAUUAGCUCAGUCCAGGGAUUAAAUCGGAAACGGAAUAAAAUAAAUGGGCGAAAUUUAAAAAAGGAAAAAUGCAAACAGGGCUAAAUGGAAUGACUCAGGAAAGAAAGAGGGGCCAUAACCGAAAUAUCCCAUUUUAGUCGCACAGACCCUCCUCCUUUGCCUAAACGACGCUGUUUCAUGCAGUAUUUAAAUCUGUUUAUUUUUUUUUCUUUUAUUUUGCUUUCCCCACCCCUUUUUCUCUUGCAGCUAAGUUUUCAACACCCAUCAUCGCUGGCGGUUCACCAUGCCAAACGGAGAGGGGAGCUCCGACGACGCGGCCACGGUGUAGAUCCGGUGACAUGGGCGGUCAGACGCGUGCGAGAAGGCUGACGGUGGUGGUGGUGGCCAUUGGAGAGGAGUGCGGCGGCUGAAACUGGGGGCUAGGGCUGCUGAAAUGUUUUGGGUAGACGGGCUUUAGGGUUUUGAUAAUUUGGGCUUAGGUAGUUUAAGCCUGAAAUUAUCAUGUAAAUGGACUAUUGGACUUUUAUUAUUUAUUGGACUUUUAUUAUUUAUUAUUUUUUAGUUUUAUUAUAUUAGGCCCGGGCAGAUUUGGGCUUCUAUAAUUACCAUUGUUUUUAAUUUAAACUUAAAUACUGUUACAUUAGAGAGUUGUUAAAAA